rnacentral:rRNA from 1 species
AGACCUCAGGUCAGGCGGGGCUACCCGCUGAGUUUAAGCAUAUCAAUAAGCGGAGGAAAAGAAACUAACAAGGAUUCCCUUAGUAACGGCGAGCGAACCGGGAAGAGCCCACCAUGAAAAUCGGUCGCCCUCGGCGUUCGAAUUGUAGCAG